rnacentral:lncRNA from 1 species
CAGGUUCUUCCAUUCUCCAGAGAAGCCAUUACCCUCCGGGCUGGCUAAGGUUCUAACGGGAGUGUUCUAUUCUCAGCACACUUCGAAGGACUAGAGAAAGACAGUGCUGGACAGGCAGAUCUGUUUGUGUCCUUCUAAACUCCAGGAGUAUUUAAACAGCCUGCUAGAGAGACCGGCCUUUGUGUCACCUGACCAGCUUCAGAGUUCUAAGAGUUCUGGCUCCAGCGGUUAAACCGGUUAAACCGCCUGCUGAUCUCAAGUUGGAGCUUUCUGCAGUGAUGAAGUCAUCUCUGAGAGCUAAGCACUCCACUGCCCAAGCUGAGACUUCCACUGCGUGGACGUAUUUUUGGCUUGUCAGCAUCUGGCCCAUCCCACUCGGUGACUGCUUGAGGUGGCCACGUCUCACUCUGGAGCUGUCACAGGCUAGGCCAAGCUAAGUCACAUGGUACGGAACUUCCUCAUACCCCUUUGCAAAUCGGAGUCAGAAACCCCUCGGUGUGUGGGAUUUGAGGCUCUUUCCUUCGGACUCCCUGCCACAUGGCGGCUGUCUCACAGAUCCUCCGGGCUUUGAAGACUCUCUCCCUUCAGGAAAGCAUCGAGCUGUCUGGUGUGAAGCUCUUUAGAACUCUCCAGCCUCAAGUCUCCAGCAUGCCCUGCCCCAUCUCCAAAAUCUCUCUUCCAAUAAAGCCUGAUCUGAAAG